GACAGAGGGUGCAAACGUUGUUCGGAAUUACUGGGCGUAAAGCGAGUGUAGGCGGUUCGGUAAGUCGGAUGUGAAAGCCCCGGGCUCAACCCGGGAAGUGCACUCGAUACUGCCGAGCUAGAGUGUCGGAGAGGUUGGUGGAAUUCUCGGUGUAGAGGUGAAAUGCGUAGAUAUCAGGAGGAACACCUGUGGCGAAAGCGGCUCACUGGACCAUAACUGACGCUGAUGCACGAAAGCUAGGGGAGCAAACAGG
rnacentral:rRNA from 1 species